rnacentral:lncRNA from 1 species
AGUUAUCCCUCAGAGCUCCUGCUGCCUCGCCCGCUUUCUCUCGGAAACGUGAAGUGUGGCCUCAGCUGAAAGUGAGGUGGGCCUCAUUCAAUCAGUUGAAUUCUUCAAGAGAGAAAAACUGAAGUCCCUUAGAAGGAAAGAGUUCUGCCUUCAGACUGUCUUUGAACUUAAGACUGUAGCGUCGACUCCUGCCGGAAUUUCCAGCCUGCUGGCCAGCUCUGCAGAUUCACACUUGCCAGCCUCCACAAUCGCAGCUGAGGCGGAGGAACCCUAAGGGCUCAUUGAGAUCAUGGAUUUGCCCUUCUAUGCAUUGAUGGAGCACCUGCUGCCCACAGCGUCUGUAUUUGGUGCUGGGAUGCUGAGCCUCCUUCUUUAUGAAUUUUUAAAAGGACACUGAGAUCUUCAAACAGAGGCUGCCACUCUAAGCAAACAGAUCCCGAGCCCUGGACUCUGAAGCUUGGGCCCAGUUCUCCUUUUCUCCGGGUUUCAGAUCCCACUGUGAAGUGAGGGGGCCCUUCUGAUUCAGGACCCGGGGAAGCCAGGGGCAUGAGCAUCGGUGCCUCUUCUCUAUUUCAAGGACCCUUCUGGGUGUAAAGUUCUCUGAGAUGCCUUACAUGGAUUCCCACCACUGCAAGAUAACCAUCGUAUUCUAUUGAAAGAAACAUGACAUAAUGAUACCACAGCAAAAGCCAAUCUUGCUCCUUUUUAAAAAAUUAAAAACAAAACAAAACAAAAUUAAAAAA